AUUGAACGCUGGCGGCAUGCCUUACACAUGCAAGUCGAACGGCAGCACGGGUGCUUGCACCUGGUGGCGAGUGGCGAACGGGUGAGUAAUACAUCGGAACAUGUCCUGUAGUGGGGGAUAGCCCGGCGAAAGCCGGAUUAAUACCGCAUACGAUCUACGGAUGAAAGCGGGGGACCUUCGGGCCUCGCGCUAUAGGGUUGGCCGAUGGCUGAUUAGCUAGUUGGUGGGGUAAAGGCCUACCAAGGCGACGAUCAGUAGCUGGUCUGAGAGGACGACCAGCCACACUGGGACUGAGACACGGCCCAGACUCCUACGGGAGGCAGCAGUGGGGAAUUUUGGACAAUGGGCGAAAGCCUGAUCCAGCAAUGCCGCGUGUGUGAAGAAGGCCUUCGGGUUGUAAAGCACUUUUGUCCGGAAAGAAAUCCUUGGCCCUAAUACGGUCGGGGGAUGACGGUAACGGAAGAAUAAGCACCGGCUAACUACGUG
rnacentral:rRNA from 1 species